rnacentral:tRNA from 1 species
GCCCGGGUGGCUUAGUCGGUUAAGCGUCCGACUUCGGCUCAGGUCAUGAUCUCACAGUUUGUGGGUUCGAGCCCCACAUCAGGCU